CUGUAGGUGAACCUGCUGCUGGAUCAUUA
rnacentral:rRNA from 2 species